rnacentral:rRNA from 1 species
GUAGGUGGCAAGCGUGUCCGGAAUUAUUGGGCGUAAAGCGCGCGCAGGUGGUUCGUUUAAGUCUGAUGUGAAAGCCCCCGGGCUCAACCGGGGAGGGUCAUUGGAAACUGGGGAACUUGAGUGCAGGAGAGGAAAGUGGAAUUCCACGUGUAGCGGUGAAAUGCGUAGAUAUGUGGAGGAACACCAGUGGCGAAGGCGACUUUCUGGCCUGUAACUGACACUGAGGCGCGAAAGCGUGGGGAGCAAACAGGAUUAGAUACCCUGGUAGUCCACGCCGUAAACGAUGAGUGCUAAGUGUUGGGGGGUUUCCGCCCCUCAGUGCUGCAGCUAACGCAUUAAGCACUCCGCCUGGGGAGUACGGUCGCAAAGACUG